CCUACGGGAGGCUGCAGUGGGGAAUAUUGCGCAAUGGGCGAAAGCCUGACGCAGCCAUGCCGCGUGGAUGAUGAAGGCCUUCGGGUCGUAAAGUCCUUUUCUGAGGGAAGAACUGCCGGGGGAGGAAAUGCCCUUGGCUUGACGGUACCUCAGGAAUAAGCAACGGCUAACUCCGUGCCAGCAGCCGCGGUAAUACGGAGGUUGCAAGCGUUGUUCGGAAUGACUGGGCGUAAAGGGAGCGCAGGCGGCCAAGUCAGUCUGAAGUGAAAGCCCGGGGCUUAACCCCGGAAUAGCUUUGGAUACUGCCUGGCUUGAGUGUGCGAUAGGAAAGCGGAAUUCCAGGUGUAGCGGUGAAAUGCGUAGAUAUCUGGAGGAACACCGGUGGCGAAAGCGGCUUUCUGGCGCAUAACUGACGCUGAGGCUCGAAAGCGUGGGGAGCGAACGGGCUUAGAUACCCGGGUAGUC
rnacentral:rRNA from 1 species